rnacentral:rRNA from 1 species
GACGAACGCUGGCGGCGUGCUUAACACAUGCAAGUCGAGCGGUAAGGCCCUUUCGGGGGUACACGAGCGGCGAACGGGUGAGUAACACGUGGGUGACCUGCCCUCAGCUCUGGGAUAAGCCCGGGAAACUGGGUCUAAUACCGGAUAUGACUUCAUGACGCAUGUUGUGGAGUGGAAAGCCUUGUGCGGCUGAGGAUGGGCCCGCGGCCUAUCAGCUUGUUGGUGGGGUGANGGCCUACCAAGGCGACGACGGGUAGCCGGCCUGAGAGGGCGACCGGCCACACUGGGACUGAGAUACGGCCCAGACUCCUACGGGAGGCAGCAGUGGGGAAUCUUGCGCAAUGGGCGAAAGCCUGACGCAGCGACGCGCCGUGAGGAGUGAC